GCUUAUAAGAAAGGCUGGACACAAAUUUGGUGCAGGAGUGAGGUUUUGGGGACAGGGCUGCAGAUACAAGGACAGAGAAGGGGUAGGGAUGGAAUGACCAGAGCACAGCUUCCAGGGCUCCUGGGGCUUAGCCCUGUCCCUGUGGGGGCCAUUGUGUCACUCAGGGCCUCAGAGGCCCCACCUGGGCUCCACCAGGCACAUGAAGGCUGCCCGCCCCACUGAGGAGCCGCUUUCCCAACCUGGAAGUGAUUUUCAAUGUUUCCUCACUGGGCAGUGCCAUUCAGCUACUGGUUGCCUGGAAGUGAUUGGAGGGGAAGGAAUGCCAAUUCUCAGACAUUUCCAGCUCUCCUUACAGGCGAGGCAGCUGGCUCCAAUAGCCCAAGGGAAACUGCUGGAAAAGAGAGGAGCAUGCCCCUCCUGGAGCUUUCUUCCUUCCCGCUGGCCGGAAUGCAGUUGUGAUCAUUUGAGUUUCAGCAGCCACCUUGGGCCAUUUGGAGGAAGGCAUCUGCUGUGCAUGGCAGAGUCACGUGAAAGAAGGAAGCUGAUUCAUUAUCACCAGGUCACCGUGUCAGCCCUGGACUGCCUACUUCUGAACUUUUUACUUGAGGGAUUAAAGUAACCCUGGGUGUUUAAUCAUUGUUAAUUUGGAUUUUCUGCCAUUAAUAACCAAAUCAAGUUCUAACUGAUAGAAACACGCAGGGAAAAAACGUUGAAUGGAAAAGUAGGCACAAAAGUGGAUGUUCUUCAUGGAUCCCAGCUAUUUAAGUUAUAGAUUGGUACAGAGAUGGUGAUUGAAUGGUGAGUCAUCAAUAAUAGUGUGAUGGUGUUGAUUGGAUUUUUCCCUCUGUAAACAAGUUUAGUUGCUGAAUCGGUCAGGAGAGGCUAGGUUAUGCUGAGGUGACAAGCAACUCCUAAAUUUCAGGGCCGUAAGACAACUCAAUUUAAUUCUUACUCUCCAUGUUCGUCGUGGGUCAGCAGGAGGCUGUGCUCAUGGCAGUCACUCAGAGCACUGGCUGACAGAGACGCUGUGACAGAGGGCAAGAGAGAACGCUGGAAGGUCUCGCUCUCACCAGGAAUUAAAUGCCACGGCCUGAAAGUGACACUUUCAUGGUGCUCACAACUCAUUGGCCAGGACCAGUCCUAGAACCUGGCCCACCCACAUGGAGGCAACGAGUGCAACUCUGCCACCUGCCCAGAAGGCGGCGAGCUGGAGAGACUUGGCAGAUUGCACCAGUGAUGAUCACAGAUACAUCAUGAAGAAAACGUAAGAGCACAAACAUUUGUGAAAUAAUUUUUAGAAGUCCUUCCAGAA
rnacentral:lncRNA from 1 species